rnacentral:rRNA from 1 species
GACAGAGGGUGCAAACGUUGUUCGGAAUUACUGGGCGUAAAGCGCGUGUAGGCGGUUUGGUAAGUCGGAUGUGAAAGCCCCGGGCUCAACCCGGGAAGUGCACUCGAUACUGCCAAGCUAGAGUAUCGGAGAGGUUGGUGGAAUUCUCGGUGUAGAGGUGAAAUUCGUAGAUAUCGAGAGGAACACCGGCGGCGAAGGCGGCCAACUUGACGAAUACUGACGCUGAGACUCGAAAGCGUGGGGAGCAAACAGG